UACGAAGGGGGCUAGCGUUGCUCGGAAUUACUGGGCGUAAAGCGUGCGUAGACGGUUAUUUAAGUCGGGUGUGAAAGCCCCGGGCUCAACCUGGGAAUUGCAUUCGAGACUGAAUAGCUAGGGUACGGUAGAGGGAAGUGGAAUUUCGUGUGUAGGGGUGAAAUCCGUAGAUCUACGAAGGAACGCCAAAAGCGAAGGCAGCUCUCUGGGUCCCUACCGACGCUGGGGUGCGAAAGCAUGGGGAGCGAACAGG
rnacentral:rRNA from 1 species